UUGGACGAGGGAAAUAACGAGCCAAGACA
rnacentral:piRNA from 1 species